rnacentral:rRNA from 1 species
UACGAAGGGGGCUAGCGUUGCUCGGAAUUACUGGGCGUAAAGGGCGCGUAGGCGGAUUGUACAGUCAGACGUGAAAUUCCUGGGCUCAACCUGGGGGCUGCGUUUGAUACGUAUAGUCUUGAGUGAGGAAGAGGGUUGUGGAAUUCCCAGUGUAGAGGUGAAAUUCGUAGAUAUUGGGAAGAACACCGGUGGCGAAGGCGGCAACCUGGUCCUUUACUGACGCUGAGGCGCGAAAGCGUGGGGAGCAAACAGG